CACGUAGGGCGCAAGCGUUGUCCGGAAUUAUUGGGCGUAAAGAGCUCGUAGGCGGUCUGUUGCGUCCGCUGUGAAAACUCGGGGCUUAACCCCGAGCCUGCAGUGGAUACGGGCAGACUAGAGGUAGGUAGGGGAGAAUGGAAUUCCCGGUGUAGCGGUGAAAAUGCGCAGAUAUCGGGAGGAACACCGGUGGCGAAGGCGGUUCUCUGGGCCUUACCUGACGCUGAGGAGCGAAAACGUGGGGUAGCAAAACAGGG
rnacentral:rRNA from 1 species